UACGAAGGGGGCUAGCGUUGCUCGGAAUUACUGGGCAUAAAGCGCACGUAGGUGGUCCGCUAAGUCGCGUGUGAAAUCCCCCGGCUCAACCGGGGAAAUGCGCGUGAUACUGGCGGGCUUGAGAUCGGGAGGGGUGAAUGGAACUCCAGGUGGAGCGGUGAAAUGCGUAGAUAUCUGGAGGAACACCGGUGGCGAAAGCGGUUCACUGGCCCGACACUGACACUGAGGUGCGAAAGCUAGGGUAGCAAACGGG
rnacentral:rRNA from 1 species